CUUGGCGGCCGUGCGGCCUCCCUCAGCAAACUAACGGACGCCAGCAGAGGGCAGCAGGAGACUGUGAUGAAGAUUUACCGUUGGAACUUUAAAUUACUAAGUCUAUCUGGCAUUAUUCAACUUCCGACUUUAAGAAGACCUUUGAGAUUAUGGAACCCCAAUUCUCUUUUUACAGAGGAGACAUUAAAACCCUUAGAGUGGGAGCCAGCAAGAAAAUGCAUGUCUUAUACCUACCUACUUGACCUCCAAGUCUGCUAUGAUUGAUAUCACAUGCUUUGUUGUACUGACACAGAUCAUCAAAGGUUAUUUCAGACAUACUCAGGGAACAUCACCUAAGUUUGUUCUGAGUGAUACCUUGUAGGUAUGGAGAUUGGUUCUUUUGAAAAUAAGUUCCAUAUUGCCUAUUCAAAAUUUUGUGACUACAAGUAUAUUUUAAGUGCAUAUUACAAAACGCCAAAAAGAAUAACAACAAAAGUAUAAUAAUGGUUGGAUUAAGAUGCUGUAUUGUCAAUUAUUUUUUCCUUCUCAUAUUUCUGCAAGAAAGUUUA